AUGCCAGCAAAUUUGGAAAACUCAGCAGUGGCCACUGGACUGGAAAAGGUCAGUUUUCAUUCCAAUCCCAAAGAAAGGCAGUGCCAAGAAUGCUCAAACUACCUCACCAUUGCACUCAUCUCACACGCUAGUAAAGUAAUGCUCAAAGUUCUCCAAGCCAGGCUUCAGCAAUACGUGAACCAUGAACUUCCAGAUGUUCAAGCUGGUUUUAGAAAAGGCAGAGGAACCAGAGAUCAAAUUGUCAACAUCUGCUGGAUCAUGGAAAAAGCAAGAGAGUUCCAGAAAAACAUCGAUUUCUGCUUUAUUGACUAUGCCAAAGCCUUUGACUGUGUGGAUCACAAUAAACUGUGGAAAAUUCUGAAAGAGAUGGGAAUACCAGACCACCUAACCUGCUUCUUGAGAAAUCUGUAUGCAGGUCAGGAAGCAACAGUUAGAACUGAACAUGGAACAACAGACUGGUCCCAAAUAGGAAAAGGAGUACGUCAAGGCUGUAUAUUGUCACCCUGCUUAUUUAACUUCUAUGCAAAGUACAUCAUGAGAAACGCUGGGCUGCAAGAACCACAAGCUGGAAUCAAGAUUGCUGGGAGAAAUAUCAACAACCUCAGAUAUGCAGAUGACACCGCCCUUAUGGCAGAAAGUGAAGAGGAGCUAAGAAGCCUCUUGAUGAAAGUGAAAGAGGAGAGUGGAAAAAUUGUCUUAAACCUCAACAUUCAGAAAACGAAUUUCAUGGCAUCUGGUCCCACCACUUCGCAGGAAAUAGAUGGGGAAACAGUGGAAACAGUGUCAGACUUUAUUUUAGGGGGCUCCAAAAUGACUGCAGAUGGUGAUUGCAGCCAUGAAAUUAAAAGACACUUACUCCUUGGAAGGAAAGUUAUGACCAACCUAGAUAGCAUAUUCAAACGCAGAGACAUUACUUUGCCAACAAAGGUCCGUCUAGUCAAGGCUAUGGUUUUUCCAGUGGUCAUGUAUGGAUGUGAGAGUUGGACUGUGAAGAAAGCUGAGCGCUGA
rnacentral:lncRNA from 1 species